CUCACCGUAGCUCAGUUGGAAGAGCGGCGGGGUUACUGCGCUACGCUCCGUUGGCUUCGCAUUCGAACCCGCAGGCCGGAGGUUCGAGUCCUCCCGGGGAGGCCA
rnacentral:tRNA from 1 species